GAUUCCCAGAAGUUGUGCAUGAGUUCCUGUGGAGAGAGUUGGCAUCGUGGAUAGCAAAGACGGUUAUGAUGCAGUCUUUUGAUACGAGGAUAACAGGAAGCGUCAAGACAAUCAUGCCCAUGAGAACUCUAAACCAUUCAGACCAUUUUAUCUUAGUGAAACUGGCAACUGAACUUUGCUCUAGUUGAUGGGCAAAAUUUCUCCUAGAAUAUUCAUCACCCCAAGUUCACCCUAGUUGAAAAUAUUCAAAUGCCGUAAG